GAAAGGUGCGUGUGUGCACAUAGAAUAAAAUAGCUGCAACAACAGUAGUUCUGAUAACACUCAUGUCCCAUCCUUUCCCCUGUAGUAGCUUGCGGCGCUUGCGGCUGGAGCAGUAAGGGGUCUUUCAACCACCCUACUGAUAAAACAUGUUAUUAUCAUAAUGCAGAGAAUAAAGAGAAGCAAGAUUAUUGUUGUUGUAUUGCUUACUUUUCCUUGAUUACAAUGCAUCCUUAUAUAGUAUAAGGAUGGAUAAAAAGUCUUACAAAAUCUUCUUAAAAUCAAAAUACACACUCUUAUAUUCAAUUCAAAGAUCUAAUCUUUGAAUUGAUUUUAAUACUUUUGACUAUUGAUUCUUAUUUUCAACACCUACAGCCACCCUACCUCUGUACCAUCUCCGUAGAGUGCUCCAGUGUUCAGCCAACAACCAUUCCCUCUUAGUCUUAAACCUCCAGCCAGCAAUCUCACUUCAUUCUCUCCCAUUCCACACUAAGGACUUUUGAGAGAGAAACGGGAGAAUCCAUUGCUGCUGCAAGACUUCAAAUGAGUUUGUCUCCACGAGAAUCAAUAGCAACACAGCAGCCACCCAACAGUUUGAACAUAUCCAAGGUCAAGCACGAGAUUAAUAAUCAAUCAAGGAGCUACUGUACCGCAAGAGUUGCUGUCAGGUUGAGCAGUGGCUGAUGAAGAUGAAGUGAAGAGCGGAGCUUUUGUCAAAAGUUAAAUGAAUGAACUCUUGGAUACAUGUCUUCAUACAUGUAAUCAGAUUAUGUUAUUCCGCUGC